GACGAACGCUGGCGGCGCGCUUAACACAUGCCAGUCGAGCGAUGAAAUUUCGACAGAUCCCUUCGGGGUGAAGAUGAAAUGGAUUAGCGGCGGACGGGUGAGUAACACGUGAGUAACCUGCCUUUGACAUUGGGAUAGCCUCGGGAAACUGGGAUUAAUACCAAAUGACACUAACUGAUCACAUGAUCAAUUAGUCAAAGAAAUUCGGUCAAAGAUGGACUCGCGGCUGAUUAGCUAGUUGGUGAGGUAACGGCCCACCAAGGCGACGAUCAGUAGCCGGCCUGAGAGGGUGAUCGGCCACAUUGGAACUGAGACACGGUCCAAACUCCUACGGGAGGCAGCAGUGGGGAAUAUUGCACAAUGGGGGAAACCCUGAUGCAGCGACGCCGCGUGAGCGAAGAAGGCCUUCGGGUCGUAAAGCUCUUUUAUGAGGGAAGAUAUUGACGGUACCUCAAGAAAAAGCCCCGGCUAACUACGUG
rnacentral:rRNA from 1 species